rnacentral:lncRNA from 1 species
GACUGCCUAAAAACCAGCAGAAAAAAUCUAAGAUAGUAGCAAAAUCUUCCACUGCUAAAGAAAGCUAUGAAAGAAAAGAAAUAAAACUCAUAAAGAGUUAAAGGUAACAUAAUGAAGGCUCAAAUCUGAAGCUCCAUAUGUAAGAACAAACAUCCCUAUACAAACACCCCUAUGCAUGUAAUAGUCAUAUAAAACAUAAUUACAAUUACAGUCCAUCCAGCAAUUGUUUGCUUGUUUCAUUAUAAAUGUCUGCAAUAGUCAUAUAAAACAUAAUUAAACACUUAAGCAGAACCCAGAAGAUAAAGUACAAAAAGCAUGGUAAAAGAN